GAGCCGAGAAGUCUAUGUGCUGAAGAAAAACUCAUUCUCUACCAGACUGUUGAAAAUCUCCGUUCUGAUUUUGAAUGUAUCUAUGAAAACAGCAAAACAGAACUGAGAAGCCUUCCCAGGCACCCAGGCGGUGCUCUCCGCGCUCCUUAACUAUCUACAGGGAGUUCUGAGCUCUCCUCCCGUGCCACACGAGCCUGCAGAGGGCAACUGCCCUUUUGUAGUCAUCCCAGGCCCAGGCUGCUUCCAUCGCCCGUUCGGCCAAUUCUUACUGCAGCUUCAGCUCUGCAGUCAGGUCCAGCCUUCGAGAAAACCCGCAUCCUACAAGCACUGUCCUGUGCCCACAAGCGGAGCCGAGGCUCCAACCCGGCCUCUCCACUUCACCAUCAGGGACACCAGAAGGGCACCCAGCACUGCGAAAGAGCAGAGCCCUUAGAAACAGAGCAGUGGAAAUGAGUGACUUGAACGUUAGAAGUUAGGGCGCGAAAGUUUAAAUCCUACUUUCACCGCUGAUUUACCACGAGAUCCUAACUGAUGUGCUACGUUGUCUUCAGCCUUGUAUCCUGCAGCUGGAGAAGCCGAGCUGUCAUUCUGCAGUUCCUGGCAGAAGAAGCAUGAUAGGGUCUGGGACUGCCUGGUGAUGCCUGUCUACCAGCCAUGUCUGGAAGUUGGAGAGAUCACAUGGCCACAAGUGGGUGUCCUGCCUUGGACUUGUCUUGAUAAGAAUCCGAAGUUCCCGCAAACUACGACCAGUAAUGACGUCCCGGCCUCCGCUGUCAUCUCGCUGUUCACCAUCAAGUGCAAGCUCCCUGCCCAUUCCAUUCAUUCUGAUGUUAGUUCCCCUGGAUCUUUAUCCAUUUUCCUUGGUUGCUCGCCUCUGUUUAUGUAGCUUUUUAAAAUAUCUAUUUGUUCAUAUCUCCC
rnacentral:lncRNA from 1 species